rnacentral:rRNA from 1 species
AACCUAAAGGCGAAAUGAAAGUGAAGGUCAGCCUCGCGCUGACCGAGGGAGGAUGGGCCUUCCCACGGGAGGCCCCGCACUCCCGGGGCGUCUCGUUCUCAUCGCGAGAGGAGGCGCACCCAGAGCGUACACGCUGGGACCCGAAAGAUGGUGAACUAUGCCUGGUCAGGACGAAGUCAGGGGAAACCCUGAUGGAGGUCCGUAGCGAUUCUGACGUGCAAAUCGAUCGUCGGAACUGGGUAUAGGGGCGAAAGACUAAUCGAACCAUCUAGUAGCUGGUUCCCUCCGAAGUUUCCCUCAGGAUAGCUGGCGCUCGCCGCGCGCGAGUCUCAUCCGGUAAAGCGAAUGAUUAGAGGCAUUGGGGUCGAAACGGCCUCAACCUAUUCUCAAACUUUAAAUGGGUGAGAUCUCCGGCUUGCUCGAACACGUGAAGCCGCGAGAUUUCGGAUCAGA